UACGGAGGAUGCGAGCGUUAUCCGGAUUUAUUGGGUUUAAAGGGUGCGUAGGCGGCUUAGUAAGUCAGCGGUGAAAUUUUGCAGCUUAACUGUAACAGUGCCGUUGAUACUGCCAGGCUAGGAUUUGGUUGCUGUGGGUGGAAUGUGUGGUGUAGCGGUGAAAUGCUUAGAUAUCACACAGAAUAUCGAUUGCGAAGGCAGCUCACAAAGCCAAGAUUGACGCUGAGGCACGAAAGUGUGGAGAUCA
rnacentral:rRNA from 1 species